rnacentral:lncRNA from 1 species
GAGCCAGCACAGGCGGAGGGGAGCGAUUAAGGACCACAACAGGCGUUGGUGAUGUCCUCUUUUGGGUCACUUGCAUAUCCAGACGUGCUUUUGCUAUCGUGGAAAUCUCCAAUGCAAGAAGCCAUCAGCAUGGCAGGGAGAAGUUCAGUUCGUGCCUGUGAAACAGUCUGCUUGGGAGAAAGGCCGGGCACCUGCCGCUUCCUGACUGCCUGCAUUGUGGAGGCUGGCAUCAAAACAACAUUGUUUAUUAAGAAAAAAAAAAAAAAGAAAAGAAAAAAUUACCACAUCCUGUUUCCAGAGAUGAACCCAAUUGCCUCCUAGUGUGUUUGAAGUUUUUUCCUGAGUCAUCUG